rnacentral:rRNA from 1 species
UACGUAGGUGGCAAGCGUUGUCCGGAUUUAUUGGGUUUAAAGGGUGCGUAGGCGGUCUUAUAAGUCAGUGCUGAAAUAUCCCGGCUUAACCAGGAGGGUGGCAUUGAUACUGUAGGACUUGAGUAGAGUUGAGGUUGGCGGAAUUGACGGUGUAGCGGUGAAAUGCUUAGAUAUCGUCAAGAACACCGAUAGUGAAGACAGCUAACUAAGCUCUAACUGACGCUGAGGCACGAAAGUGUGGGGAUCAAACAGG